rnacentral:rRNA from 1 species
CUCCUUUGACGUUAGCGGCGGACGGGUGAGUAACACGUGGGUAACCUACCUAUAAGACUGGGAUAACUUCGGGAAACCGGAGCUAAUACCGGAUAAUAUUUCGAACCGCAUGGUUCGAUAGUGAAAGGUGGUUUUGCUAUCACUUAUAGAUGGACCCGCGCCGUAUUAGCUAGUUGGUAAGGUAACGGCUUACCGAGGCGACGAUACGUAGCCGACCUGAGAGGGUGAUCGGCCACACUGGAACUGAGACACGGUCCAGACUCCUACGGGAGGCAGCAGUU